rnacentral:rRNA from 1 species
CAACAGGGAUUGCCCUAGUAACGGCGAGUGAAGCGGCAACAGCUCAAAUUUGAAAUCUGGCCCUCGCGGUCCGAGUUGUAAUUUGUAGAGGAUGCUUUGGGCGCGGCGCCUUCCAAGUUCCCUAGAACGGGACGCCUUAGAGGGUGAGAGCCCCGUACGGUUGGACGCCUAGCCUAUGUAUAGCUCCUUCGACGAGUCGAGUAGUUUGGGAAUGCUGCUCUAAAUGGGAGGUAAAUUUCUUCUAAAGCUAAAUACCGGCCAGAGACCGAUAGCGCACAAGUAGAGUGAUCGAAAGAUGAAAAGUACUUUGAAAAGAGGGUUAAAUAGCACGUGAAAUUGUUGAAAGGGAAGCGUUUGCGACCAGACCUUUUCCAGGCGGAUCAUCCGGCGUUCUCGCCGGUGCACUUCGCCUGGUUUAGGCCAGCAUCGGUUUUCCCAGGGGGAUAAAGGCGGCGGGAACGUAGCUCUUUCGGGAGUGUUAUAGCCCGCCGCGCAAUACCCUUGGGGGGACCGAGGACCGCGCUUCGGCAAGGAUGCUGGCGUAAUGGUCGUCAACGACCCGUCUUGAAACACGGACCAAGGAGUCGAACAUUUGUGCGAGUGUUUGGGUGUCAAACCCUCACGCGUAAUGAAAGUGAACGGAGGUGAGAGCCCCUCGCGGGGUGCAUCAUCGACCGAUCCUGAUGUCUUCGGAUGGAUUUGAGUAAGAGCAUAACUGUUCGGACCCGAAAGAUGGUGAACUAUGCGUGGAUAGGGUGAAGCCAGAGGAAACUCUGGUGGAGGCUCGCAGCGGUUCUGACGUGCAAAUCGAUCGUCAAAUCUGCGCAUGGGGGGCGAAAGACUUAUCGAACCAUC